GGAGUCUGGUCCGUGUCUCAGUACCAGUGUGGGGGAUAAGCCUCUCAGCUCCCCUAGACAUCGUCGGCUUGGUGGGCCGUUGCCCCGCCAACUACCUAAUGCCACGCAUGCCCAUCCGUAACCACCAAGGCUUUCGCCGCCUGACCAUGCGGCCAAACGGCUAUAUGGGGUAUUAGUGGAAAUUUCUCUCCGUUAUCCCCCUGUUACGGGCAGGUUGCAUACGCGUUACUCACCCGUGCGCCGGUCGUCAGCAAGAAAGCAAGCUUCUCUCCUGCUACCCCUCGACUUGCAUGUGUUAAGCCUGUAGCUAGCGUUCAUC
rnacentral:rRNA from 1 species